UUGGCAUGAUGAGGAAACCUUACGUUUAUCUGAUCUAUUUGAUGAUAAAUUCCUCCUACUCAUUCUGA
rnacentral:snoRNA from 18 species